rnacentral:rRNA from 1 species
CUUAGCCUUAAACUUCAAUAAUUCUUACAACAAAAUUAUUUGCCAGAGAACUACUAGCCACAGCUUAAAACUCAAAGGACUUGGCGGUACUUUAUAUCCACCUAGAGGAGCCUGUUCUAUAAUCGAUACACCCCGUUACACCUUACCACCCCUUGCUAAUUCAGCCUAUAUACCGCCAUCUUCAGCAAACCUUAAAAAAGUAUAAAAGUAAGCAAGAGUACCCGCAUAAAAACGUUAGGUCAAGGUGUAGCCUAUGGGGUGGAAAGUAAUGGGCUACAUUUUCUUCCACAAGAACAUACGAAACUCUUUUUGAAACUAAAGGAAUAAAGGAGGAUUUAGUAGUAAAUUAAGAAUAGAGAGCUUAAUUGAAUAGACAAGUGAAGUA